UCUCACCAGGCAAAGUGGCUGCCACUGCUCCAUGCACCUGCAAGACAAAAGGGGCUGCACAUGGGGAUACUGCAGUGGGGGUACCUGGGGUGAGAUCCAGGGAGAAUUUAACUGCACUUAUUUGCCCACAGUAAUUAUUUUGGGUAAAAGGGACUCAUUAAUGCAGGUUAAAGGUAUUUGGUUGGUGUCAGUUGCUAUAAAGUGCAAUUCUCAGAAUGUCCCUCUCUUAGAAAGCCACAAGCACAAAAGAUGACAAAGGAAGGUCUGACACAGCUACCACGAACCUAGAGGGCCUGUCUUUCUACACAGGACAAAAUCCUUUCCCAGUGUUACUGACUUUAAAAGAGAAGUUCUCUUGUUUCCUGUAACUUCACAGCUGCAGAAUUUACCAUCAAAUUCAGCACUGAGCAACCACUGCCUGCAGAAAUGUCAGAUGAUGCAAAGUACCUCAGAAAGAUCUGGAAAGCGCUCAGCGUUCCUCAGAACAGAAAUAGCUGCUACCACCAGGGAAAAAUUCCUGUCACGUAUGGCCCAAAGCAAUGGACAUUAGAGUAUUAACUGCACAAACACAGAGGUAGACUAAAUACAGACAUUACAUUUGCUGGGGGAGUGGGCUUGAUUUUCAGCAUUGGCAGAGGCUCUUUGCCUGGGAUUUGCAGAGUACCACCAUUUUUUACUGUGCUGUUUCCAGACCAAUUCCUUAAUUAGCAUUUAAUACGCAGCUCUUUUGAAAAGCGAAUCCUAGGAGACUCGAUGUAAAGGCAGAAGCAGCUGCUUUGCCCAUGUUGCCCGUGCAGUGCUUGCUGCACAGAUGUGCUCCAGUUGCCAUCAGAAAAUGUUGCCUCUCCUCAGCUUGUCACAUUUUUACCUGUUUGAACAGAAGGGAAAUACAGUGCUGCGUUUUUGCCUACGCUUCGGAGAAAACAGACCAGGUCCUCAGCACUGAAAAACCGGCUGUAUUUAAAGAAAGCAUCUUCAGUUUGUUUAGCUCAAAACUCUUUCCCCACCAGCAGAAUGAACGAAAAUUGAAACCAGUCUGUGGGGCGCAAUCAACAGGAGGAGCCAGAGAGGACUGGGAGUGCAGUGGCACUGGGCGUGGAGGCAGUGCGCUUCCCAAACACAGAACUCAGCCUUUUUGUUAAAUAUAGCCCUAAACUCUCGCUGGGCUUGAAAGCAUGCGUCAGCUUUAUCUGCACUGACCAGCCUGUAAUCUUACACGCUCUCAGGGAUCUGUAAAACAGUCCUAACAUGAACUACGCCUGUUUAGCUCGGAGCCCGUCCUUUCAGACAGCGCUGGGGCUGGAGUCACAUUCCUGGUCUUUUUCAGUUCGGCGUGGCUCUUUGCCCCAGGUCAGCUCGAGCUGGUGGCAGCAUCCAGUGUGAGACCUGGCCGCAGGACUGGCAUUCUGAAAGAGCCGUGCGGGGUCCUAGAAAGAUUUCUUGGUUUUGCUUAUAAUUUUGGUGUAGGGGAUUUCUUCAAAACAAGACGGAUCCGUUAAGCUUAUUUUCUACUUAAUUCCAUGCUAACAAUAAAUUACUUCAAAUAACAGCAAAAAGUAAGAAUAUUCAAGACAUUGUCCUUUUGAUCUGAGGUUUCUAAUGCUGAUGCCAUUAUCUUCUAAAUUAAAUCCUCUGCUGCCAUCAGGUAAACAAGUGUUGCUAGCCACAGUGUCUGCAUGGUUCUCUUAAGAAUGGUGCUAAAACCAUCAUGGGGAUUUGGGGUCAGCUGAGACACAGGAUAUCUGAUCCUGCAGAUCCUAACUGGAAUUUCCUUGGUAGCUGGAACAGUAGAGGACAAGCUGAAUUAUCAAAUUCACCAGACAACUUAAAAUGGUCCAAAAUUAAGUGCUGGAGUUAAACAUACUGGUUUGCUUUUACUAGGCUGGAAAGAAACAUAAUUUUGAAAAGCACUGUUUGAGUAAAAUUAAUUCGCUUCUAAAUGGAGUUAACAAUAAUUUUCCUAUGUUCUGCCUUUUUCACCCUAGCACCCUUCAAAACAGUCAGGAAAGAGACAUACAUAUACACAAAUCUCAUGUUUGCCACUGCAGUGGUGGCAACAUUUUUCAUCUACAAUUCUAUGGUUUUUUAAUCUCUUCCAUCUGCUCCACAUGUGUUCAGCAUUCCCUGGACACCGCCAGUUCCCUAACUCUAUUAGCUCAGUUUGUACAUCAAGCCCAUGUAUUGCAAUCAAGCACGCUGGGCUACUUACUCUUACUCCUACUGCCUAUAGCAGACUGUAAAGUUGUUGUAGCAACUGCUUGCGCUGAGAAGUACACAGCGUAAGGUCGCUCCAGGGAAACAAGCUGCUGCUCUAUUUUGAUAGGUAUCACCCAGGCUACUUUACAUAGACAAGAAAAAAACAAAACUCUUCAGUUAUAUGUAACAAGACAGUAUCUCAGAAGAGAUUUCGGGCUUUUGAGAAGGCUGCAUUUCAGGCCACUUGUCCUCCUGGAGGCCCCCUGCACAGCUGAGCCAGGCCGCGCCGCGCUGGCCCCCGAGCUGCCCGCAGCCAGCUGCCACCACCACGAGCUGCCGGGCCGUGCCCGGGCUUACUGCCACAGCUGAGAUCUCGAGGGAAUUCCACAGCCGCGGCCUCACCCGGCAGGCAGGGGAUGCUCCAGGGUGCAUUCUUAGGAGGUUUAUGAACAUUUUCCCCAACGGAAUAGCAUCAAAUCAAAUGUGGAAAGAGAAUUGCAACAUUUCAGCUUCUGAAGAUGGGGUUUUUAUUUUCCAUGCUACUGAUUGCUAUUGCUUCUUUAAUAGUUGUCUUGAUAUUUUUGCACUGGACUUUGUUUACGCAGUUUUCCUUGGAAAGCUCCAGGAGCUUGCUGGAGAACUGGCAGUAGGAUACAAGGUGCAAUGAAAGGAUGCCCAAUUAUCAGCCCGCCAGUUCUAGUUCUAAAAUUGUGUGCAAUCCCAUUCCACUCACCCGAAAGAAGUCCUCCUUUUAGAAGGCAACCUGCUGGCCAUGGCAGCAGAAGGUCCAUCGGUCACUGCUCACCAGAAAGCUCUCCGGACCUUCUCUGUCCGAACAGCAGGUUGAGAAAGAUGAAGCUGCUGAUUUCAGCCGCCUGCUUCCAGAAAGGCACUGAUGGAAUUGCUUACAGUAUACAAUAGAGCUUGAAACCACUGCAGUAUCUGGACUCUGGUAUUACUCGGGAGCUACAGCACAAAUGCAGCCCUGUCCAGGACAAACAAUGCCCUCUUCUGUCUUUUCAUCCCGCUGAUCCUCAAAAUAUUUGAACACUGGAAUCACUUCACUGAUGCACCAUUUGAUUAAACCACACUUAGCUGUCAAACAUCAAUGAAUUAUUGUUUGUAAAGACCUAAUGCUUUCAUAUCUGAUGCCGUUAUGUCUCUAGUACCAAUUAUCAUAUUAAUUUAGCUUACUUUUCUAUAGUCCUCAUUCUAAUUAUUCUCAGUGCUUUGCUGUUUGUUGGUGGUGUCUAAUGAGGGACGAAGGAAUGCUUCCGAGUUCCUGGGUCUGGGUGCGUGCCGUGGAGGCCUGAACUCCACAUUUGGACAAUUCCCAAAUGCACAUCAGCCCCUCAUCACGCUCUGGUUUCCACAGAACAUAAGCACAAGGGCUCACAGGCGGUGCCAAGUUUUGGGCAGUUCCUGCUCUCAGCACGUGGAGCAGUGUGGAGCUCAA